rnacentral:rRNA from 1 species
UACGGAGGGGGCUAGCGUUGCUCGGAAUUACUGGGCGUAAAGGGAGCGUAGGCGGAUAUUUAAGUCGGGGGUGAAAGCCCAGGGCUCAACCCUGGAACUGCCUUCGAUACUGGAUAUCUAGAGUAUGGGAGAGGUGUGUGGAACUCCGAGUGUAGAGGUGAAAUUCGUAGAUAUUCGCAAGAACACCAGUGGCGAAGGCGGCUCACUGGACCCGAUACUGACGCUGAUGCACGAAAGCGUGGGGAGCAAACAGG